rnacentral:lncRNA from 1 species
GAAUCCAGAUUCUACAAACCAAACAUCCCCUUAGUGAUUUCAGGGGCAAAUUCCAUUAUGUGCUCAAAAUUUUACUUGAAAACUAAUGAAAAGUGUAAAAAAAAGAAAAAAGAGAAAGAAAAAAAAGAAGGAAAAAGAAGAAGAAACUAAUGGGGCAAAAUGUCAAGGUGCUCUAGAUGGAAAAAAUUAUCCUUGAUUUGAUUACCUUUCACAUAUAGUCUAG